rnacentral:rRNA from 1 species
GAACCACCCAAACGUUAUUCGGAAUUACUGGGCUUAAAGAGUGCGUAGGCGGCCUUGUAAGUAGGGUGUGAAAUCCCACAGCUCAACUGUGGAACUGCGCUCUAAACUACAUGGCUAGAGGGAUAUAGAGGUGAGCGGAACUGAUGGUGGAGCGGUGAAAUGCGUUGAUAUCAUCAGGAACACCGGAGGCGAAGGCGGCUCACUGGGUAUCUUCUGACGCUGAGGUACGAAAGCUAGGGGAGCGAACGGGAUUAGAUACCCCGGUAGUCCUAGCUGUAAACGAUGAGCACUAGAUCGUGGGCCUGCACAGGCUCUCGGUCGUAGCGAAAGUGUUAAGUGCUCCGCCUGGGGAGUAUGGUCGCAAGGCUG